UACGUAGGUUUAAUUCAUGCAAGGUAAACAAUAAGUGCUCUCUUUUAUACAAUAUGCAUUGCAUCUGGACCUUAAACAUAUAAAAAUGGUCAGUGAAACUUCUGUGAACAUGAAGAAAAAUUAUUAAAAAAGGCAUUUAAAUGAAAUUUGCUAACUUGUGAUUUUUACGUUUGAACCAAAGUUAAUCAAAUAGUAAAAAAAAAAAAAAAGAAAAGAGGAAAAGAAAAAAAAAAAGAGAGAGAGAGAAAAAAAAACGAAAAGUAAAGAAUUUCCUCCCAUAAUAUUUUUUUUCUGCACCUGUUUGGUUUACAACUGAGUAGGCGUAUUGUCAUUAUUGUGUAUAUGAGAUGUACUUGUAUUGUUCAUAAUAUAUUUUUUUUAUUCUGUGUACUUAAAGUACUUAACCUGACGUGCAGCGGUUUCCAGUCCACCUGUUAUUGGACAGCAGGUAGCGAGUCUUUCCGUGUGGCCACUGGCACUAGCACUAUCUCCUGAACUCGGAGCGAUGCUUUGGUCCCCGUUCACUCCCGUAGGCUGUUAGCAGCAGUGCAGCGAGGGCAGCGUGAUCCCACUGAGCCAUGGGGGUCGGAGUUUGGUUGGACAGUGAAAGCCAAGCCGGUGUGUGUCCGUAAUGGAUUUCCAUGUAGCUGUGGUGCUAGUUCUUAUUACUGGCUACAUACCUGGCGAGCCUGGCCGUGCCCUGCCCUCCCCGUCCCAGCUCCCGCCGGGCACGGGCUCUGCUCGAAGCCUAGGCUAGGGAAACACAGAUUUGUCAGAACACUAAUCUGUCCAGGUGUGUUCUCCAAAUUGAAAUUGUUUGUAAUAAUAAUAAGAAUAAUAAUAGACUUUUACAGGUUGUCUUCGUUGUUUUUCAGUUAUGUUUUUCUUUUUUUUCUUUUAAAAAAAGUUGGUGUGCUUUUAAUUGACUAACUUCUUGCUGCUGUAUAGUAAAAUAUUAAUAUAUUUUUAUCAUUAAACUGCUGCAUGACUAUCAUCAUUGUGAGUGAAGAGAAAAUGUUAUAAAAAAAAAAGAUGCCUUAAACAGUGAAAACAAAACUUUAUUUUUUGUUUUUUCUUUUCUUUUCUUUUCUUGGCUGGAAUUCAGUAGAGAGCAUUUCAGAAAAACUAGAAUCUUGUUCCACUCGGAAGUUUUUUGGGAAUGCAAUCAUUUUGCUGAAUGGUCUUGGCUGAGUUAGGGGUCAGGUAGACCUGAGCUGCUCCUGUGCCGAGCAGGAGCUGCCAGCGCUUCUUUACCGAGGGGCAAGGAUGGAGUUUCGGAAGGGUGGGGAGAAAACAAAAAAAAAGCUUGUUUUAAAGAAUUUGAUUUCCUGCUGUCAUUCUAUUCCCAGUUGAAAUUAUAAUUCCCUUUUUCUUCUUGGGGUUUUGGGGUUUUUUUGGUGUUUUUUUGUUUGGAUUUUUUUUUUUUUUGAGAUGUACUGUAAGUGUCAAAACAAGCUGUUUCCAUUGUACCAUGCAUUAUUGCCCUUGAAAGAAGUUUGCUGUUAGUGUUCACAGAAAGUUAAACACGAGCCGCUGGUAGCGAGGUGUUUCUGUUUCUUUUUAAACAAUCACUGGAAAUGUUUAAAAUUGCUUUAAUGUGCACUUUUCCUAUUUCCCAGUAGUGAAAUAAGCUUUUCAGAGUGCGUAAUGUGACAUUUGAAAUGGUUCUCAAUUGCAUGUAAACAUGUGUCUGAUAACCUGCUUCUGAUUCGGAGGCUCUGGAUGGGCAGUUCCAGCGAUUAUUGUACUUCAACUGUGAUGUGUCGGGACUGCACUCUCCAUGCUGCUAGACGUAGUUAGGAAUUUAAUUGCUUUGGUUUUUGCUACUUGAUUGAUUGUCUCGGUCCUGCUGUUCGCUGCCCUCCCCAAAGUUGUCGCGCUGCCGACGGACGCGCUCCGGCGCCCGUAGUUCCAACGCCGCCGCGGUGCGUUCCCAGCAAUAAGUAGCGGGAGGCGAGGAGAGCACGGCGGAGUGUCCUUCCGUCCCUCCCGGCUCUGGGAGCACCGCUAACGAGGCAGGCUCCUCCCGUGGUCUUCCUCGCCCGCGCCGCCCGGAUCCUGCCCAGGAUCCGGCUGACUCGAGGAGCGCACGGGUCCAGUCAAACCAGUACAGCCUGGAACAGCCCGCGGGCAGUUCUGUGAACAGUGGCCGAGAACUCGUGGUCAGUUUUUGUCUCGUUUUGGGUUUCUUCUGCGUGUUUCCUCGGGUUUUUUUUUGUUUCGUUUUGGUUUAUUCUUCUUUUAACGCACGUUCUGUAUGUUCAAGGACUUGAUGAAUGAUGAUAACGAAAGACUAAAAUGACUGUAAAGAUUCGUGAGAUUUUGCUCCUGGUUGUUUUAGUUUCCUUUGGAUUUAUUUUUUUGCUUUUUUUGUUUUAAUUUUUGUUUUCCCGGAGGUGCUCGGUACUUUACCAAGGCUCUAAUAUCUCAGUAUUUAAAACAAAGUACAGAAAACCCUGUUUAAUGUUAGAAGAAGAAAGGUAUAUUUGACCAUAUGUGUUGUUUUAAAAAAAGACAGUAUGCUCAAAUGUGCCAAGAUACCUAAUUCCUGAGAAGUAUGCCUUAUAUUUUCCUUGAUGAUAUGCUUUUAAAUGUCUUGUAGAAUAGGUCCAAGAGCAUGAUAAAAGCUACUUUAUAAUGACUACGUGCAAGAAAACUUGAAAUUCAUUGCAAUACUGACAUUAUUUUAUUUUUAAGUUAAAGGGACACUGUCAAGUAAUUUACCAUUGAAAUACAACCACCUUUUAAGUGGUUUUAUGCUAACGGGGAAAUGUCCUCCGAAUUAAAAUUCUAUAUUUUUUUUUUGUUAAAAUGAAAACAAAAAAAGUGAAAUUGCUCUGUCUUUGAGAAUUUAAAUAAAAAAGAAAAAAA
ensembl:lncRNA